rnacentral:rRNA from 1 species
GAUGAACGCUGGCGGCGUGCCUAAUACAUGCAAGUCGAGCGAACAGACGAGGAGCUUGCUCCUCUGACGUUAGCGGCGGACGGGUGAGUAACACGUGGAUAACCUACCUAUAAGACUGGGAUAACUUCGGGAAACCGGAGCUAAUACCGGAUAAUAUAUUGAACCGCAUGGUUCAAUAGUGAAAGACGGUUUUGCUGUCACUAAUAGCUGGAUCCGCGCCGCAUUAGCUAGUUGGUAAGGUAACGGCUUACCAAGGCGACGAUGCGUAGCCGACCUGAGAGGGUGAUCGGCCACACUGGAACUGAGACACGGUCCAGACUCCUACGGGAGGCAGCAGUAGGGAAUCUUCCGCAAUGGGCGAAAGCCUGACGGAGCAACGCCGCGUGAGUGAUGAAGGUCUUCGGAUCGUAAAACUCUGUUAUUAGGGAAGAACAAAUGUGUAAGUAACUAUGCACGUCUUGACGGUACCUAAUCAGAAAGCCACGGCUAACUACGUG